GGUUUGGCAGGUGUAUCGGAAGUCUACACUUUUAACGUAGGCUACACAGUCUUACCUGCACCAGGUGAGAGUGCUUUAAACUCAGCUUGAAACUUCGAGAAGUCUUCGAACCUGGUGAAAACAGUCCGUUUUUUGAUAAAUGAAAAAUCAGAUUCCUGCUAACCUAAAUUCUAAGGUCAAGAAGGAUGCUAAAAUCCUCAGAGUUCACUGAAAUAUCCAACAGAAUGGGGCCUGACAAACUUAUUCCAGAAAGAAGAAAGCCAUACAAGUUUGGAACAACAUUAGGCUCAUGUGAUUGCCAAGGCUGAGGGACUGGCUAUCCUGUCAGUCUUUAAAGCGGGCUUCAUGAUUACUGCAAGGGGUGGCAGUGGAAUAGUGAUUUAAAGGCUCGCUGAUGGAAGGUGGUCUGCUCCUUUAGCCAUUGGCAUUGCUGGUCUUAGUGGAGGAUUUGAAAUCGGUAUUGAGGCAUAAGAUUUUGUCAUCAUCUUGAAUCAGAGAAGAGCUGUGGAUGCUUUUAGUAAAGGGGGCAAUCUCACACUUGGAGGAAAUUUCACUGUGGCUGUUGGCCUUCUUGGCAGAUGAGUUCAGCACCAGUUAGACCAAGUCCUCCCACACAGAGUGCUGCCUCUUACACACCCAGGACAGAGGCUUCUGCAGCUGUGAAGCCAGCUGUCUAUCAGAACUUUGUCUUAAACUGGGAUUCUGCAAGCUCAGAAGUCAGAUGGGUUUGAAACAACAUGAGGAUAAGAAAAUAAUCACAGAGACGGAGCAACAACACCCGGACUCAGUUAUUAUUCUGGGAGAUUUUAAUAAAUCUAACCUCACCCGUGAACUGCCAAAAUACAAUCAACACAUCACAUGCUCCACCCAGAGACAGAAAUAUACUGGACCACCGCUACACCACUGUAAAGGAUGCAUAUCUGUCCCACGUGCAGCUUUAGGACUCUCUGAUCACUGUCUGGUUCAUCUUCUCCCGACCUACAAGCAGAAACUAAAAUCAGCUAAGCCUGUAGUAAGGAGUGUAAAGAGAUGGACUAAUGAAGCAGAGCUGGAACUACAAGACUGUUUUGACUGCACUGAUUGGAGUGUUUUUGGAGCUGCAGCCACUGACCUGAACGAGCUCAAAGAUACUGUGACAUCAUAUAUCAGUUUCUGUGAGGAUAUGUGCAUCCCUACUAGGACAUUUUUAUCAUUCAAUAACGAUAAACCAUGGUUUACAGGAAAAGUCAGCUUCGUCAUGCCAAAGAGGAUGCUUACAGAAGUGGGGAUAAAAUAUUGUACAACCAGUCCAGGAACACACUUACUAAGGCGAUCAAAGUGGCUAAAAGAAGCUACUCUGAAAAGCUGAAAACCCAGUUUUCAGCCAACGAUCCUGCAUCUGUGUGGAAAGACCUGAAAAGCAUCACCAAGUACAAGACAGCUCCCCCUCGCUCUGUAGAGAAUCAACUAAUGGCUGCUGAACUGAAUGUGUUUUACUGCAGGUUUGAAAAGCCCAGUCUCACACCCCUCCCCCGCUCUGAUCUUCACUUCACACACACCAACACCUCCUGGAACCCCCAACCUGCUUCUCAAUCUGCACUUAUGAUCUGUGAGGAGGAUGUGUGCUAGGUCUUUUGGUUACAAAUGACUAGGAAAGCUUCAGGCCCAGACGGUGUUUUUCACCUGCCUGUCUGAAAGUCUGCGCUGACCAACUGGCCCCCAUCACAGAUCUUCAAUAGAUCACUGGAGCAGUGUAAAGUUCCCUGCUGCUUCAAAUGCUCCACAAUCAUUCCGGUCCCCAAAAAAUCACAGGACUUAAUGACUACCGGCCUGUCGCUCUCAUGUAUGUGGUCAUGAAGUCAUUUGAGAGACUGGUUUUGGCCUACCUGAAGGACAUCACUGGACUCCUGCUGGACCCCCUUCAGUUUGCUUACCGAGCAAACAGGUCUGUGGAUGAUGCUGUCAAUAUGGGACUGCAUUAUAUCUUGCAACACCUCGACAGACCUGGAACUUAUGCAAGGAUCCUAUUUGUGGACUUCAGUUCAGCCUUCAAUACCAUCAUGCCUGAUCUUCUCUCAGUCAAACUGACCCAGCUCUCCGUGCCUACCCCAAUCUGUCGAUGGAUCACCAGCUUUCUGACAGAUAGGUAGCAGCUAGUGAGACUGGGUAAACUCACAUCCGGGACCCUCUAUUUUAGCACUGGUGCUCCUCAGGAAUGCAUUUUCUCUCCACUGCUCUUCUCCCUGUACACGAAUGACUGCACUGCAAAGGACCCCACUGUCAAGCUCCUGAAGUUUGCAGACUACACCACGGUCAUCUGCCUUAUCCGUGACGGUGACGAGUCUGUAUACAGACAGGAGGUUGAACAGCUGGCUGUCUGGUGCAGUCACAACAACCUUGAACUGAACACACUCAAAACAGUGGAGAUGAUAGUGGACUUCAGGAGAAAUACCCCACACUCCUUCGCCAGGUGAGGAAGUUCAACCUGCCACAGGAGCUGCUGACACAGUUCUAGUCUGCCAUCAUUGAGUCUGUCCUGUGUACAUCUAUAAUUUGUCGGUUUGGUUCAGCCAAGGAAACUACAACAGACAGUCAGGACUGCUGAGAGGAUUAUUGGUGCCCCCCUGCCCACCCUCCAAGACCUGUACAUCUCCAGAGUGAGGAAACGUGUAGGUAGAAUCACUCUGGACCCCACACACCCUGCCCCAGUCCCUCUUUGAACUGUUGCCCUCUGGCCGGCACUACAGAGCACUGAGCGCCAGGACAUCCAGGCACAAGAACAGUUUUUACCCUCAGGCCAUUUACCACAUGAACAAUUAAACUGCCUCAUGAUAUCUAAUGUACAUAUGUAAAUUCACAUAUUUAAUUCAAUAACUGUACAUACCCCAGCCUUUGCACAUUACCACUUGCACACGUACAUACACCAUUCUGUUAUAUGUCCUAUUAUUUGUAUGUCUAUUUAUAAUCUUACCUUGUUUUAUAUCCUGUGUCUCAAUGUAAUGUUCUGUGUGCAACUGUUUCUUCUAU